CCUACGGGAGGCAGCAGUGGGGAAUAUUGGACAAUGGGCGAAAGCCUGAUCCAGCCAUGCCGCGUGUGUGAAGAAGGCCUUCGGGUUGUAAAGCACUUUCAGUGGGGAAGAAAGCCUUGGGGCUAAUACCCUCGAGGAAAGACAUCACCCACAGAAGAAGCACCGGCUAACUCCGUGCCAGCAGCCGCGGUAAUACGGAGGGGGCGAGCGUUAAUCGGAAUUACUGGGUGUAAAGCGCGCGUAGGCGGUCUGAUAAGCCGGUUGUGAAAGCCCCGGGCUCAACCUGGGAACGGCAUCCGGAACUGUCAGGCUAGAGUGCAGGAGAGGAAGGUAGAAUUCCCGGUGUAGCGGUGAAAUGCGUAGAGAUCGGGAGGAAUACCAGUGGCGAAGGCGGCCUUCUGGACUGACACUGACGCUGAGGUGCGAAAGCGUGGGUAGCAAACAGGAUUAGAUACCCCAGUAGUC
rnacentral:rRNA from 1 species